rnacentral:misc_RNA from 1 species
GAUGAAGAACGUAGCGAAAUGCGAUAAGUAAUGUGAAUUGCAGAAUUCAGUGAAUCAUCGAAUCUUUGAACGCACAUUGCGCCCGCUGGUAUUCCGGCGGGCAUGCCUGUUCGAGCGUCAUUUCAACCCUCAAGCCCCCGGGUUUGGUGUUGGGGAUCGGCUCUGCCCUUCUGGGCGGUGCCGCCCCCGAAAUACAUUGGCGGUCUCGCUGCAGCCUCCAUUGCGUAGUAGCUAACACCUCGCAACUGGAACGCGGCGCGGCCAUGCCGUAAAACCCCAACUUCUGAAUGUUGACCUCGGAUCAGGUAGGAAUACCCGCUGAACUUAAGCAUAUCAAAAGCGGAGGA